UGAGGGGUGAUCUCAGGGUGUGCGUAGCUGUUCUCAGUCAUACCUGAAAUUUUGCCGUGUGGUACCACUCUGGGAGACAGACCCUGGCCUAGAUGAAGUUUGGGGCUGACUCAAUGAUGCUUUCCUGACAUGACUCCCAUGCUGGCCAAGCAGCCGGAAUCUUCCAUUGAGGGAAGGCUAAAGGAGGCCAAGUCUCUGCGUGUUGUGUGUGACCUGUAGUAGUCACCUCCUUGUGGGUGAGGAUCAGCGUCAGGAUAACAACCUCCAUGAAAACCAUCCCAAGGAGACCUCUCAGGAACUACGAAGAAAAACUGUGAGUUGUUGGACCCAUGAUUAUGAAGGCAUCCAGAAGUUAACCUUGGAGAUUCAUUGCCCGAAAUUUGGACUGACGUAGGCUCCAGAGGAAGCCUCAGCCAUCCAGAAUCCUUCCUAGUGCGUUCACUUCAGAGGCCUUCACCACCAGUUGCUGCAUGACUACAAUGUUCCAUGUUGUCUCUGGAGGUUCAGAUGGCAGAGCUUAUGGAGAUCCACGACUCAGCGAGGAACAAAACUCAUGGAUACCAGAGACAUUCUGAAAGCCGUCCCAAACAGAGAGGGUCACAGACCAUUCAGCCAGCGUUGGCCCAGAGUUUGAAUCCUGCCUCAGACACUUGCUUAGCUAUGGAAACCAAGGCAAGUCACUCAACCUCUAUCUGCCUCAGUUUUCUCAUCUGCAAAAUGAGGAGAAUAAUAGCACCUUUCUCCCAGGCUUGUUUUAAGGAUCAGGCAAGAUAACACGCACAAAGUGCUUAAAUGAGGCUGUUAUGAUUGUUACAGUUAUUGUAGUCAUUGUUCUUUGUCCUUAAAUCUGGGGUCAUGAUGCCACCAAGAGUGGGACAAAGGCCAACCUUCGAAGAACAUAUACUUACUGUAGCUUCACACUUCAGUCCAUUGGGUUAGUGGAAACGCAGAGGUAGCAUGGGACAGUGAUGGGGGCACCACAGGACCAGAGCCAGCAGCCGACUCCGCCAUGUCCCGUGUGACUGAGCCCUGAUGUCUUCAUCUGCAAAAUGGCACCAGCUCCUCCUAGGGCUUAUGGAUGUGAGGCUGGUGCGUGAGGUUCACGGACGUGAAAAGUGCUUUGUCAUGGAAAAAGAACCAACGAGACUGUGAUUUAGUCAGUGACAGCCGUCUCAUUGCCUCCAGAUCUCCUCCUCCAAUAAGCUAGUCGGCUUCACCCCUUCAUCCUGUUUUUCUUUUUCACCAAACUGUCAAUGAACUGGGUAAAAACCAAAAUCCUGGGUCUUGGCUACCAAGAGUGUUGGUCCUGGUUUGUUUUGCAAGUGUACACACUUCUAACAAAUCAUUUAUCUGGAUGAUUCAUGGGUUUAUUAGUUAACUGUAACAGGGUUAUUUGUUUAAAAUUCAUUAAUAAAAAUA